UGCNGGUUUAACGAAUUCGCCCNNNNGACUUUUCCUNCUGGCACGUAGUUAGCCGGGGCUUAUUCCCGGGUUCACGUCAUCGGACGGCCAUUCCCUGCCAUCCUUAUUCCCCCCCCGGAAAAGAACUUUACAACCUCACGGCCUUCAUCGUUCACGCGGCGUCGCUCCGUCAGACUUGCGUCCAUUGCGGAANAUUCUUAGCUGCUGCCUCCCGUANGAGUCUGGGCCGNGUCUCAGUCCCAAUGUGGCCGAUCGCCCUCUCAGGCCGGCUAUCCAUCGUCGCCUUGGUGGGCCGUUACCCCGCCAACUAGCUAAUGGACCGCGGACUCAUCCCCCGGCGGCGCCUUGGCGCCUUUCCUCGCCCGCGCUUGUGCGCGGCCGGUCGCAUCCGGUAUUACCCCAUGUUUCCAUGGGCUAUCCCCGACCGGGGGGCAGAUUGUCCACGUGUUACUCACCCGUCCGCCGCUCUAGGGGCCCGAAGGCCCUUGCCGCUCGACUUGCAUGCUUAAAACGCGCCGCCAGCGUUCGUUCUGAGCCAUGAUCAAACUCAAGGGCGAAUUCGCGGCCGCUAAAUUCAAUUCGCCCUAAGGGGGG
rnacentral:rRNA from 1 species